rnacentral:misc_RNA from 1 species
GAACGCACAUUGCACUCUGUUUGCGCAGAGUAUGCCUGUUUGAGAAUCUAUAGUAUUCUUUUUCUCUAUAAAGUUUUUAAUUUUAUAUGGGAAAGUUUUGCGGAUUUUGGGUUAUUAAAAAUACCCAAUUCUGUUAAAUCUAUAGUCAUUUUUUUUAUAGUCAAUGUUUGAAGUCUCUAUAAAAACUUUGCAGAAAUGUAUUUGAAUGAACCUACCAGUUCUCCUUAUACAAAUUACGCAGAGAGAGAUUAGUUUUCUAUAGAAAAUAAUGCCCAUAACCAUUAAAAAAGUGAAUUGUAAAGAUUGACUUUUUGAACCAUGGUCUCAAAUCAGGUAGGAUUACCCGCUGAACUUAAG